UGGGGAAUGAUUGCACAAUGGGCGAAAGCCUGAUGCAGCAACGCCGCGUGAGUGAUGAAGGCCUUCGGGUUGUAAAGCUCUGUCUUUUGGGACGAUAAUGACGGUACCAAAGGAGGAAGCCACGGCUAACUACGUGCCAGCAGCCGCGGUAAUACGUAGGUGGCAAGCGUUGUCCGGAUUUACUGGGCGUAAAGGAUGCGUAGGCGGAUUUUUAAGUGAGAUGUGAAAACCCUAAGCUUAACUUGGGGACUGCAUUUCAUACUGGAAAUCUAGAGUGCGGGAGAGGAGAAUGGAAUUCCUAGUGUAGCGGUGAAAUGCGUAGAGAUUAGGAAGAACACCAGUGGCGAAGGCGAUUCUCUGGACCGUAACUGACGCUGAGGCAUGAAAGCGUGGGUAGCAAACAGGGUUAGAUACCCUGGUAGUCCACGCCGUAAACGAUGAGUACUAGGUGUAGGAGGUAUCGACCCCUUCUGUGCCGCAGUUAACACAAUAAGUACUCCGCCUGGGAAGUACGAUCGCAAGAUUAAAACUCAAAUGAAUUGACGGGGUCAUAGCUGUUUUCCU
rnacentral:rRNA from 1 species